GACAGAGGCCUCGAGCGUUAGGCGGAAUCACUGGGCUUAAAGCGUGUGUAGGCGGGCCCGUGAGUGUCUUGUGAAAUCCCACGGCUCAACCGUGGAACUGCUGGGCAUACUGCGGGUCUUGGGCCAACUAGGGGCAGCCGGAACAAGCGGUGGAGCGGUGAAAUGCGUAGAUAUCGCUUGGAACGCCGAAGGUGAAAACAGGCUGCUGGGGUUGCGCCGACGCUGAGACACGAAAGCCAGGGGAGCAAACGGG
rnacentral:rRNA from 1 species